UACGUAGGGUGCAAGCGUUAAUCGGAAUUACUGGGCGUAAAGCGUGCGCAGGCGGUUUUGUAAGACUGUCGUGAAAUCCCCGGGCUUAACCUGGGAAUUGCGAUGGAGACUGCAAGGCUUGAAUCUGGCAGAGGGGGGUAGAAUUCCACGUGUAGCAGUGAAAUGCGUAGAGAUGUGGAGGAACACCGAUGGCGAAGGCAGCCCCCUGGGUCAAGAUUGACGCUCAUGCACGAAAGCGUGGGGAGCAAACAGG
rnacentral:rRNA from 1 species